GACGAACGCUGGCGGCGUGCUUAACACAUGCAAGUCGAACGGAAAGGCCCUGCUUUUGUGGGGUGCUCGAGUGGCGAACGGGUGAGUAACACGUGAGUAGCCUGCCCUUGACUUUGGGAUAACUUCAGGAAACUGGGGCUAAUACCGGAUAGGAGCUCCUGCUGCAUGGUGGGGGUUGGAAAGUUUCGGCGGUUGGGGAUGGACUCGCGGCUUAUCAGCUUGUUGGUGGGGUAGUGGCUUACCAAGGCUUUGACGGGUAGCCGGCCUGGGAGGGUGACCGGCCACAUUGGGACUGAGAUACGGCCCAGACUGCUACGGGAGGCAGCAGUGGGGAAUAUUGCACAAUGGGCGGAAGCCUGAUGCAGCAACGCCGCGUGCGGGAUGACGGCCUUCGGGUUGUAAACCGCUUUCGCCUGUGACGAAGCGUGAGUGGCGGUAAUGGGUAAAGAAGCACCGGCUAACUACGUG
rnacentral:rRNA from 1 species